UACAGAGGUGGCAAGCGUUGUUCGGAAUUACUGGGCGUAAAGGGCGCGUAGGCGGCCCGGAAAGUGGGGUGUGAAAACCCGAGGCUCAACCUCGGGCGUGCACUCCAAACUCCCGGGCUCGAGGCAGGUAGGGGAGAUCGGAAUUCCUGGUGUAGCGGUGAAAUGCGCAGAUAUCAGGAGGAACACCGGUGGCGAAGGCGGAUCUCUGGGCCUGAUCUGACGCUGAGGAGCGAAAGCGUGGGUAGCAAACAGGA
rnacentral:rRNA from 1 species